CUCCAGAUGUUUUGGGACUACAACUCCCAUCAUCCCUAGCUAACAGGACCAGUGGUCAGGGAUGAUGGGAAUUGUAGUCCCAAAACAUCUGGAG